AUCACAUCUGUGAUUUGCUUUUUCCCUCACAGGUAGCUCCCUAUAUGGCUGAGAUGAAAUCACUCCUUCCUAUAGCGUUCAUAUUUGUAAUGUUUUUUAAAAAUCAGACUCCCUCUAUAAAACUUGCACUGUAACGUGAAGGAAAAUAAGAAUACUCAGCAGCAAUGUUAUGCUCUUUUUUUUUUCUUUUCAUUUUUGGCCAGAAGACAAGAUAGGCUUAUAAUUGAUGAGAUGCUCUCACUUAGACUACACUGACCCAGAAGUCAGAAGUCAGAUGAGAGAGAGCCCUUUACUGCUAGCGUGGCCACCAUGUUCAGUGGUACCAAGGACUUUACAUGCAGAGUAGAAUAGAUACUGAGAGGUGAAACCACAGGAAUAAUCACUGCAUAAUUGUUUUUGAGAGUUUUAAACAAAAACUAAUUCUUUUUGUUCUUCCGUAGGAUAAAGGAAGGGUGUCAUCUGGAAUGUGUUUUACGUAAUAUCCCUUAGAAAUGAUUAAUAUUAUUUGUUUCUUAUUCAAUCAAAUCUUUAAAAAGACACAGUUCAGCUUGUCACUUGGCUCCAUUUGUCAGAAUGCAUCCAUAUAAUUGGCCAAGAUGUCUUCAGGAUUUAGGGUGGAUUUUCCAGUGACAUUGUGAAUUAUCAGCAGGCCAGCCACAUGGGAAAUUUUCACAAGUGACCAAAAUGGGCCACUGCUUGAACUUUCUCUGCAUGCCCUCAUCCUGGCUGAGCAGAAAACAUCAGAGGAAAUAUUGAGAAGAUACUGGGGACACUCUUGCAGAAGUACAAAAUCAAAUCCCUAGAAAAAAAAGGGACUCCAUUUCUCACUAAAGGGAUUACCCAAAAGGCCUGAGAAACCAUGAGAAGUUGGUGGAGAAUAACUCAUGCUCCAGCAUGGCAUGUACGUUUGGAGGACCCAAGGUUAUGCCUGAAGUUGCAGGAGCCUAUUUUUUGGCAGGAGGAGGAGUGGGGGGAAGAAGAACGUAAACAAGGAAGCUUGUGAGUGGUGCUUCCAGUUGCUCGAUUUGAACAGCUUUGGGAGAAGUCCCUCUCCUGGUGUUUCCCACAGCAGAGCAGUGCGAACGUGCUUUCUCGGAGGGAGAGGCCAGAGCAGCGCGGACCGAGCGCCUUGGCGGGCCCACGCUGCCGGGGAAGUCUCACCCUCUGCCGUAGAUAGAGGAGCAAAAUUGCUAAAAUUCCAGAAGACUGGCACUAUCAUCCAUGCAAUCAGUUCUAUAGAGAGCUUUCCUCACCUGCAACAGAGGAAUAAUCACAGCUUUUAUGUCCUUAACUUCACUGUGAUGACUAAAGAAGAAAACUUAAUUUAAAAAAAGGUAAAAAUGUUUUGUAAUGAUGUUAGAUCCACUAUAUUCCAAUG
rnacentral:lncRNA from 12 species